AGCUUGCAUAACUGCUACACCAGAGCAAAUUCAGGAUAAACUUCUGAUGAAUGUACGACUAGACGGACCAAUGCUGUCAAGAGGACAAUAAAGUUGUCAGCUUGCACUGGCUUGGAAAAUGAAGAUGUUUGCUGUACAUGCAAUUAGUCCAUUAACUCUAAAGCUAUGCUAUUUUACCAAGGGGUGGCCAAGAGGUUAGAGGGAGAGAACAACCUCAGCUCUCCCUCAGCUUUGACAAACCCAUUGUGAAAGGGACACCCUUCAUCUCAUUUAUAAGACACAUGGUCCCAUAAAGCCAAGAUUUAUAAGGCUGUAUAAAUUAUGCGUACAUGUCAAGGAGACAAAAGCAGUCUCUGUCAGCAUCAUGGCGUGCUUUUCAUCACUACAGAAAAAAGAAAGGAACAUGCAAUUUUCAAAAGGUCUCCUUUCAUCACCUGGAAACAUCUACAGGAUGAACUGAAAAGAGAGGCAAACUUGUUGUGCUAUCUGAAUAUACCCACUGGGCUCAUGGAUAGAUAAGGAGAGCACCAAGGAGGGUGGGGGGAAAUCAA